GUCUGGGUCCUAUCCCCACUCCUCACGCGCAGCCCAGAACCCCUGCGCUGACCCUCGGGGAAAGGUGACCCCACGGUAAGUUGAGGCAGUAUGACCAAGAACAGGAGGAGUGGGCAAUGGCUAAGCAAGAAGAGCAGACAUUCUCUACACCAUGACUCUGUGCUUCUCUGAUUUUCUUGCGGCCUCUCCCCUUGUGUGGCAGCCCACACUCACUACAGGUGCAGAGGCAGCUGUCUGCGGCACCGCAUCAAACUUCAACGGACUGAGAGUCUGUGUCCCGAUACUUACGGGCUGCAACCUUAAUCCCAACAUGAUGGUAUUUGGAAGUAAUUGUGUCAUGAGGGAAGUAAGUAGCUCACAAUCUCUCAUAAAUGGAAUUAGUGCCAAGAAGGGGGGUCGGUCUUAAAUACAGGAAACUGUGUCAUCUGUGACAUCAUAGAUGGCACUGAAGCACAUUCUACCAAGUUAAGUAAGCUGCACACAGAAUGACAAAUAUUAUGUGAUCCCACUAUAUGUUGAAUCCAGAAAAGUUAGUCUCACAGAAAUGGAGAGUAGAAAGUCAGAGACCAGGAGGGGAGAGGGAAGACAGGGGAUGGGAAAAGGAACAAGGGUGAUCAAACAUUAGAAAAUUUCAGUUAGGUGAGAAGAAUAAGUUUUAGUGAUUCUAUUGUGGACUGGUCAGAUUUUAUAAUAAUGAAUUAUAUAUUUCAAAACUCCUAAAAGACUAAAUUUUUAAAAUGCUAACGACGAGAAAAAUAAAUAAGUUGCUAAAGGGAUAUGCAUAUUAAUACAUAGACCAAGUCAUCCCACUACAAAUCAUAAAUACAAACAAAUAUUAUUUGUCAGUUAAAAUAACUAAAGUGUUUUUAAUUACCUGUCUCUGCCCCACACUGACCUAGUGGUUCUAUUAGACACAGGAUUAUACUUUCCCACACACUGAGGCACCUGCUAUUUACCUGGGUCACAAGAAGCAUGAGACAGCAUGGAUGGGAAGUGUGCAAGUGAUUGCUGCAGGAAACAGACUUGGAAGGAAAUCUGGGAGAGGCAAUGCAGCACCCAUCCUCGUGAGCAGAUCUCCUGAGGGCCUCGCUCUGUGGUUCCCAUGGAAGCAAACCUGGAGAGAGGGCACAGGCAGUGGUCACUUCCCCUUCAAGCAAAGCCCCAUCUUCCGGUCUCCUUCAACUCAAAGACCGCAGAAUUUGUCUGCGCAUCAAGAUGAGGGAGAGGGUUUGGGAAGGCCUAGCUCACCCGUUCUCGUGGACAAAGGCCUCCAACCUCUUCCCCAGAAGAAAUCAUCCGCAGAGUAAGCCAGUGCAGAUGUGAGCCCCAUGAAGGCAGAGACUAUGCAUGUCUUCUUCCAGCACUCCCGUGACUUAGCUCUUCCAACACUUGUGCCGCAGUCAACUAACCACAGGGUGCCCAGCAGCGAACAUUUACUUCUCAGGACUGGAAGCUGCCAGGGACAGCGUGACCAUUCUCCGUGCGGUCACUCACGCUUCUCCGCUUGCCUGGAUACUGGUGAUUUAGACUGGGCGUUAGAAGAGGUUUUUCAAAAAAAUCAGAUAAAACGUUAGGCUUUAACAUCUAUGUAUGGUCUCCGUCAUAUAUUCUGCUUUAUAAAAACAACUCUUUAAAAAUGCACAAGCCAGCCAGGCACAAUGCACACACCUGUGAUCCC
rnacentral:lncRNA from 1 species